AGAGUUUGAUUCUGGCUCAGAACGAACGCUGGCAGCGUGGAUUAGGCAUGCAAGUCGAACGGGAAUCCGGGAGUUCAAGUUUUCGGACAAGAUCUCCCGGAGGAGAGUGGCGGAAGGGUGAGUAACGCGUGGGUAACCUGCCUCUGAAUUGGGGACAACUCCGCGAAAGCGGGGCUAAUACCGAAUGCGGUCGAGUGUCGCAUGGGACAACGAUUAAAGAUAGGGAUCCUUCGGGACCUGUCGUUCAGAGAGGGGCCCGCGUGCCAUCAGCUUGUUGGUGGGGUAAUGGCCCACCAAGGCUUACGGCUAGGUGGUCUGAGAGGACGAUCACCCACACUGGGACUGAGACACUGCCCAGACUCCUACGGGAGGCUGCAGUCGAGGAUCAUUGUCAAUGCGCGAAAGCGUGAACAUGCGACGCUGCGUGGAGGAUGACUGCCUUCGGGUUGUAAACUCCUGUCAUUCGGGAAAAUGGUCCUACUCCUAAUAGGGGUGGGAUUUGAUGGUACCGGAAGAGGAAGCCACGGCUAACUCUGUGCCAGCAGCCGCGGUAAUACAGAGGUGGCGAGCGUUGUUCGGAUUUACUGGGCGUAAAGGGUGCGUAGGUGGCACUGUGUGUUGGAUGUGAAAUCCCAUGGCUCAACCGUGGAAUGGCAUUCGAAACUGCAGAGCUAGAGUGCAGGAGGGGAGAGCGGAAUUCUAGGUGUAGCGGUGAAAUGCGUUGAUAUCUAGAAGAACACCGGUGGCGAAGGCGGCUCUCUGGAAAGUUACUGACACUGAGGCACGAAAGCUGGGGGAGCAAACAGGAUUAGAUACCCUGGUAGUCCCAGCCGUAAACGGUGCACACUUGGUGUAGGGGGUAUUGACCCCCCCUGUGCCGGAGCUAACGCGUUAAGUGUGCCGCCUGGGGAGUACGGCCGCAAGGCUAAAACUCAAAGAAAUUGACGGGGGCCCGCACAAGCGGAGGAGCAUGUGGCUUAAUUCGAUGCAACGCGAAGAACCUUACCAGGGCUUGACAUGCAGCUGCUCAUCCGGUGAAAGCCGGACUCUUUCGAAGGUGCUGCACAGGUGCUGCAUGGCUGUCGUCAGUUCGUGCCGUGAGGUGUUGGGUUAAGUCCCGCAACGAACGCAACCCUUGUGUUUAGUUGCCACCGGAGGUGAUGAGCCUUCGAGCACUCUAGACAGACUGCCCGUACAAGCGGGAGGAAGGUGGGGAUGACGUCAAGUCAGUA
rnacentral:rRNA from 1 species